UGGGGAAUAUUGGACAAUGGGCGAAAGCCUGAUCCAGCCAUGCCGCGUGUGUGAAGAAGGUCUUAGGAUUGUAAAGCACUUUAAGUUGGGAGGAAGGGCAGUAAGCGAAUACCUUGCUGUUUUGACGUUACCGACAGAAUAAGCACCGGCUAACUCUGUGCCAGCAGCCGCGGUAAUACAGAGGGUGCAAGCGUUAAUCGGAAUUACUGGGCGUAAAGCGCGCGUAGGUGGUUCGUUAAGUUGAAUGUGAAAGCCCCGGGCUCAACCUGGGAACUGCAUCCAAAACUGGCGAGCUAGAGUAGGGCAGAGGGUGGUGGAAUUUCCUGUGUAGCGGUGAAAUGCGUAGAUAUAGGAAGGAACACCAGUGGCGAAGGCGACCACCUGGGCUCAUACUGACACUGAGGUGCGAAAGCGUGGGGAGCAAACAAG
rnacentral:rRNA from 1 species